rnacentral:lncRNA from 13 species
CGACUGCAAUGAGGUCGCCCCGGAAUGCCACCAGUGUCCAAUCCAAAACUCUUCCUGGAGAUCAGAGAGGAUUGGAUUGGCCUAAAAGCAGUGUGGUGAAAACUCCAACUGACGUUAUGGUUGUAUAUAGACGAUGGUCUGUACUGAUGUGGUGCUUGUAUUGUGUUCCAGCUUCAACACCAGAAAGGGACGUAGGCUGUGUGCCCCCACCGGCCCUGCCUGGGUUACUAACCUGAUAAAACACAUGGACAAGCUGAUCAAGAUGUGCGAUGACACCAACUUCAAGGGUAAACACUGUAAGAAGUUGAUGUCCAAGCAGUCCUAAAGUCCCAAUUGGACGCCCUCCCUCCACCCUCACUGCCACCUCACUGCCACCUCCACCCCCCUUCUCCUGGUCCAUGGGAGUUUUUUUUUUUUUUAAAUGAAUGGAAAAAUGUGAUUCCUCCUACCACUAGUGCACUUUUUCAGUUUCCUUCCAUCUUCAGUCUUUAUCCAGCAGACCAUGUUGUUUCUUCUGUCAGUUUUUACCCAGCAUGCCAUGUUGUUUCCUUCUGUCUUCAGUUUUUACCCAGCAUGCCAUGUUGUUUCCUUCUGUCUUCAGUUUUUACCCAGCAGACCAUGUUGUUUCCUUCUGUCUUCAGUUUUUACCCAGCAUGCCAUGUUGUUUCCUUCUGUCUUCAGUUUUUACCCAGCAGACCAUGUUGUUUCCUUCUGUCUUCAGUUUUUACCCAGCAGACCAUNNNNNNNNNNAUAACUUCACAUUUGUAUACUUGCCCCCCUCACUCCCUAUUUCUCAAUCUGAUUGAGGAAUUAUUUUCGGCUUGGGGUUGGAAAGUGUUUGACCGCCAACCACAACCGCCUGCCUCUUCUGUAAACAAUGGAAGAGGCAUGCAGAGACAUUGAGGUGGACACAGUCCAGGGUUGGAUACGGCACGCAAUGCAACAUUUUAUCCAGGGAUGACGUUGCUUGUGACGUGGAUGAGGUGAUGUGGCCAGACCCUAACAGAAGGCAGGAUCCAUAAACCGUCCUGUCCUGUCACGUUCUGACCUUUAUUUCCGUUGUUUUGUCAUUAUUUAGUAUGGUCAGGGCGUGAGUUGGGGUGGGCAGUCUAUGUUUGUUUUUCUAUGAUUUGGGGAUUUCUAUGUUUCGGCCUAGUAUGGUUCUCAAUCAGAGGCAGGUGUCAUUAGUUGUCUCUGAUUGAGAAUCAUACUUAGGUAGCCUGGGUUUCACUGUGUGUUUGUGGGUGAUUGUCUAUGUUGAUUGCUUGUGUUCAGCACAGUUCUCAUUAGCUUCACGGUCGUUAUUUCGUUUAUUGUUUUUGUACAGUGUGUUUCCGUGUCUGUGUUUUUCACCACACGGUACUGUUUUGGGUUCUGUUCGUUCCACAUUUAUUGUUUUUGUAUUUCAGUCGUGUUCAUGUGUAGUACUUCUUAUUAAAAGAACCAUGGACACUUACCACGCCGCAUAUUGGUCCUCCGAUCCUUCUCGCCUCUCCUCUUCGGAAGAAGAGGAGGAAAUCCCUGACAACUCCAUCUCUUACAAUCCCUUUUACAAUACUUUUGUUUACCACUGUUGUUAUUUUUCUUUCUGUG